UAAAUUAUGCCCAAAUAAAUUAUUCUAAACACAUAUCAAUAUACAUAUCAAAUUAAAACAAUUAAUAAUUCGCAUAAAGGUUUGCCUCUGAUACCACUGUUAGGUUUGUAAGAUUAAUGAACGCAAUCAAAUUGCAUAAAAUAAGCGCAAGCAUGGAAAAUCAGAGUUUUAAAAUUUUACAAACUAUAUACCCGGAUCAUCCUUUAUGCACAAUUAUUAAUUACAUAAAAAUAUGAAGAACAAGAAUCACACCUUUGAAGAUUUGAGCUUCCUUAGGUACAAGUUCAUCUCCAAAUCUUUUCGCGUUCAACUUGAAUCCACCGGGUUUGGUUCCUUCCCUUGAUCAACGUUAGCCACCCAAGUGUUUGGCCUCUAAAGGUGAUCCUCCAAGGAAGAAGAACGAUUCAAGAAGAUGGGUGGUUGGCUAAACCCUAGUUUUCUAUCUCUAUAGAAAAACGUGUACUCUCC
rnacentral:lncRNA from 1 species